ACACUAUCAAGUAUACAACAUAUUUACAAUUCAGCGUUUCACUAGACGAUAUGUGUUGAUGUUUCUGCUUUUUUAUUGUGUGAUUAAACGAUAGUUGUACUACAACUUUAGACAAGCGGUUACUCAACUAUUGAGUUCAAUAACAUUAUAAGAACCAAGAUAAUGCCACUAGGACCAGACCAUGUCAGAGUAACGAUUCCACGAGACUGAAUUAACACAACUGGG
rnacentral:misc_RNA from 1 species